rnacentral:rRNA from 1 species
AUACAGAGGGUGCGAGCGUUAAUCGGAAUUACUGGGCGUAAAGCCCGCGUAGGCGGCUACUUAAGUCAGAUGUGAAAUCCCCGGGCUCAACCUGGGAACUGCAUCUGAUACUGGGUAGCUAGAGUUUUGGAGAGGGAAGUAGAAUUUCAGGUGUAGCGGUGAAAUGCAUAGAGAUCUGAAGGAAUACCAGUGGCGAAGGCGACUUCCUGGCCAAAAACUGACGCUGAGGUGCGAAAGCGUGGGUAGCAAACGGGAUUAGAAACCCUAGUAGUCC